rnacentral:rRNA from 1 species
UACGGAAGGUGCAAGCGUUGUUCGGAAUUACUGGGCGUAAAGAGCACGUAGGUGGGUGUGUGUGUCGGAUGUGAAAUCCCUGGGCUUAACCCGGGAACGGCAUCCGAAACUGCACAUCUUGAAUACUUGAGGGGUUGGAGAAAUUCCAGGUGUAGGAGUGAAAUCCGUAGAGAUCUGGAGGAAUACCGGAGGCGAAGGCGUCCAACUGGCAAUGUAUUGACACUGAGGUGCGAAAGUGCGGGGAGCAAACAGGAUUAGAGUACC